rnacentral:rRNA from 1 species
AGAGAUGUGUGAUGACGCAUAUCAAUAAGCGGAGGAAAAGAAACUAACAAGGAUUCCCUAGUAACGGCGGAGUGAAGCGGGAAGAGCUCAAAUUUGAAAUCUUCAAGGGUUCUACCUUGACGAAUUGUAGUUUAUAGAAGUGUUUUCUGUUAGUAGAGGUGGUAAAAGUUCUUUGGAAUAGGACAUCAUAGAGGGUGAGAAUCCCGUAUUUGGAUCACUUUCUACUAGCUUUGUGAUACACUUUCAAAGAGUCGGAUUGUUUGGGAAUGCAGUCCAAAAUGGGUGGUAAAUUUCAUCUAAAGCUAAAUAUUGGCGAGAGACCGAUAGCGAACAAGUACCGUGAGGGAAAGAUGAAAAGAACUUUGAAAAGAGAGUUAAACAGUACGUGAAAUUGUCAAAAGGGAGGCGUUUGACAGCCAGUGUUGUUUUUCCGAAAAUCAAUUAUGAAUGGCUUUAUUUUGAGAAGUUCAUGACCUUAAUAGCUUGUUGCUUAUUUUCUUGUAACUUUCUUAAUGCACUUUUCGGUUAACAAGUCAACAUCAAUUUCUUUUGUUGUAAAAGGGUUAUGAGGAAGGUGGCUUUACUUUUCGGAGUAAAGUGUUUAUAGCCUUGUACCUCUGCAAUCGGAGAGAUUGAGGUCUGCAGCGUAGAUCCUUCGGGGUUAGAUACAUUUGUGCUAAGUUAUAGCUUUUCAUAGACAACUUGUUGACUAUGUUUAGUCUUGUAGCUUACUCGCUUACUGCUAUUUUACCUACGCUUAGGAUGUUGAAGAUGUAGCACAUCAU